rnacentral:rRNA from 1 species
GUGAAGCCCAGCUUGCUGGGUGGAUCAGUGGCGAACGGGUGAGUAACACGUGAGCAACCUGCCCUCCACUUCGGGAUAAGCCUUGGAAACGGGGUCUAAUACCGGAUAUGAGCUCGCAUCGCAUGGUGUGGGUUGGAAAGUUUUUCGGUGGGGGAUGGGCUCGCGGCCUAUCAGCUUGUUGGUGGGGUGAUGGCCUACCAAGGCGUCGACGGGUAGCCGGCCUGAGAGGGCGACCGGCCACACUGGGACUGAGACACGGCCCAGACUCCUACGGGAGGCAGCAGUGGGGAAUAUUGCACAAUGGGCGCAAGCCUGAUGCAGCGACGCCGCGUGAGGGAUGACGGCCUUCGGGUUGUAAACCUCUUUCAGCAGGGAAGAAGCGCAAGUGACGGUACCUGCAGAAGAAGCGCCGGCUAACUACGUGCCAGCAGCCGCGGUAAUACGUAGGGCGCAAGCGUUGUCCGGAAUUAUUGGGCGUAAAGAGCUCGUAGGCGGUCUGUCGCGUCUGGUGUGAAAUCCCGAGGCUCAACCUCGGGCUUGCAUCGGGUACGGGCAGACUAGAGUGCGGUAGGGGAGACUGGAAUUCCUGGUGUAGCGGUGGAAUGCGCAGAUAUCAGGAGGAACACCGAUGGCGAAGGCAGGUCUCUGGGCCGCAACUGACGCUGAGGAGCGAAAGCAUGGGGAGUGAACAGGAUUAGAUACCCUGGUAGUCCAUGCCGUAAACGUUGGGCACUAGGUGUGGGGCUCAUUCCACGAGUUCCGUGCCGCAGCUAACGCAUUAAGUGCCCCGCCUGGGGAGUACGGCCGCAAGGCUAAAACUCAAAGGAAUUGACGGGGACCCGCACAAGCGGCGGAGCAUGCGGAUUAAUUCGAUGCAACGCGAAGAACCUUACCAAGGCUUGACAUGUACGAGAAAGCCCCCGAGACGGGGUUCUCUUUGGACACUCGUACACAGGUGGUGCAUGGUUGUCGUCAGCUCGUGUCGUGAGAUGUUGGGUUAAGUCCCGCAACGAGCGCAACCCUCGUCCUAUGUUGCCAGCGGGUUAUGCCGGGGACUCAUGGGAGACUGCCGGGGUCAACUCGGAGGAAGGUGGGGAUGACGUCAAAUCAUCAUGCCCCUUAUGUCUUGGGCUUCACGCAUGCUACAAUGGCCGGUACAGAGGGCUGCGAUACCGUAAGGUGGAGCGAAUCCCAAAAAGCCGGUCUCAGUUCGGAUUGGGGUCUGCAACUCGACCCCAUGAAGUCGGAG